rnacentral:rRNA from 1 species
UACGUAGGGGGCGAGCGUUGUCCGGAGUUACUGGGCGUAAAGCGCUUGUAGGCGGUCCACCAAGUUUGGGGUGACAGUUGCCGACUUAAUCGGCAAAGUGCCUCAAAGACUGGCGGACUUGAGGGCCACAGAGGGACAUGGAACUCCAGGUGUAGUGGUGAAAUGCGUAGAUAUCUGGAAGAACACCCGUGGCGAAGGCGGCUCUCUGGGACGGUACUGACGCUGAGACGCGAAAGCGUGGGGAGCGAACAGG